rnacentral:rRNA from 1 species
GAUGAACGCUAGCGGCAGGCCUAAUACAUGCAAGUCGAACGGUAACAUGAGUAGCAAUACUUGAUGACGAGUGGCGCACGGGUGCGUAACGCGUAUGCAAUCUACCUUUAACCGGUGAAUAGCCCGAAGAAAUUCGGAUUAAUACACCAUAGUAUGAUGAGGAGGCAUCUCCUUAUCAUUAAAGUUCCGACAGUUAAAGAUGAGCAUGCGUGACAUUAGCUAGUUGGUAAGGUAAUGGCUUACCAAGGCAACGAUGUCUAGGGGAUCUGAAAGAAUUAACCCCCACACUGGUACUGAGACAGGGACCAGACUCCUACGGGGGACAGCAGUAAGGAAUAUUGGACAAUGGUGGCAACACUGAUCCAGCCAUGCAGCGUGAAGGAUGAAGGCCCUAUGGGUUGUAAACUUCUUUUGUACGGGAAAAAACCUUCUUACGUGUAAGAAGCUUAUUGUACUGUAAGAAUAAGGAUCGGCUAACUCCGUGCCAGCAGCCGCCGUAAUAC